UACAGAGGUCUCAAGCGUUGUUCGGAUUCAUUGGGCGUAAAGGGUGCGUAGGCGGCGCGGUAAGUCGGGUGUGAAAUCUCGGAGCUUAACUCCGAAACUGCAUUCGAUACUGCCGUGCUUGAGGACUGGAGAGGAGACUGGAAUUUACGGUGUAGCGGUGAAAUGCGUAGAUAUCGUAAGGAAGACCAGUGGCGAAGGCGGGUCUCUGGACAGUUCCUGACGCUGAGGCACGAAGGCCCAGGGGGAGCAAAACGGG
rnacentral:rRNA from 1 species